rnacentral:rRNA from 1 species
AACGAACGCUGCCGGCAGGCUUAACACAUGCAAGUCGAGCGCCCCGCAAGGGGAGUGGCAGACGGGUGAGUAACGCGUGGGAAUCUACCUAGUUCUACGGAACAACAGUUGGAAACGACUGCUAAUACCGUAUACGCCCUAUGGGGGAAAGAUUUAUCGGAAUUAGAUGAGCCCGCGUAAGAUUAGCUAGUUGGUGGGGUAAUGGCCUACCAAGGCGACGAUCUUUAGCUGGUCUGAGAGGAUGAUCAGCCACACUGGGACUGAGACACGGCCCAGACUCCUACGGGAGGCAGCAGUGGGGAAUAUUGGACAAUGGGCGCAAGCCUGAUCCAGCCAUGCCGCGUGAGUGAUGAAGGCCUUAGGGUUGUAAAGCUCUUUCAGUGGGGAAGAUAAUGACGGUACCCACAGAAGAAGCCCCGGCUAACUUCGUGCCAGCAGCCGCGGUAAUACGAAGGGGGCUAGCGUUGUUCGGAUUUACUGGGCGUAAAGCGCACGUAGGCGGAUUGUUAAGUCAGGGGUGAAAUCCUGGAGCUCAACUCCAGAACUGCCUUUGAUACUGGCAAUCUCGAGUCCGGAAGAGGUAAGUGGAACUCCUAGUGUAGAGGUGGAAUUCGUAGAUAUUAGGAAGAACACCAGUGGCGAAGGCGGCUUACUGGUCCGGA